CCCUUAGAUGUCCUGGGCCGCACGCGUGCUACACUGACACUUGCAACGAGUACUUUGCUUUACCGAAAGGUAAUGCUAAUCAUCAAUAAGUGUCGUGAUGGGGAUAGAUCUUUGGAAUUAUGGAUCUUGAACGAGGAAUGCCUAGUAAGCGUAGGUCAUUAGCCUACGCUGAUUAAGUCCCUGCCCUUUGUACACACCGCCCGUCGCUCCUACCGAUUUCGAGUGGUCCGGUGAAACUUUUGGACCGUGCGACUUUAUUGUUGUCACGGAAAGUCAGUUAAACCAUNCNACUUAUNGGAAGGAGAANUCGUANCA
rnacentral:rRNA from 1 species